UACGUAGGGGGCAAGCGUUGUCCGGAUUUACUGGGCGUAAAGAGCUCGUAGGCGGCCUGUCGCGUCGGAUGUGAAAGCCCGGGGCUUAACCCCGGGUCUGCAUUCGAUACGGGCAGGCUAGAGUUCGGUAGGGGAGAUCGGAAUUCCUGGUGUAGCGGUGAAAUGCGUAGAUAUCUGGAGGAACACCGGUGGCGAAGGCGGCAUCCUGGACCGACAUUGACGCUGAGGCGCGAAAGCCAGGGGAGCAAACGGG
rnacentral:rRNA from 1 species